rnacentral:rRNA from 1 species
GACGAACGCUGGCGGCGUGCUUAACACAUGCAAGUCGAACGGAAAGGCCCUGCUUUUGUGUGGUGCUCGAUUGGCGCACGCGUGAGUGACACGUGAGUAAACUGCCCUUGACUUUGGGAUAACUUCUGGAAACUCGGGAUCAUACCGGAUAUGAGCUCCUGCUGCAUGGGGGUGGUUGGAAAGUUUCGGCGGUUGGGGCUGGACUCGCGGCUUAUCCGCUUGUUGGUGGGGUAGUGGCUUACCAAGGCUUUGACGGGUAGCCGGCCUGAGAGGGUGACCGGCCACAUUGGGACUGAGAGACGGCCCAGACUCCUACGGGAGGCAGCAGGGGGGAAUAUGGCACAAUGGGCGGAAGCCUGAUGCAGCAACGCCGCGUGCGGGAUGACGGCUUUCGGGUUGUAAACCGCUUUCGCCUGUGACGAAGCGUGAGUGACGGUAAUGGGUAAAGAAGCACCGGCUAACUACGUG